UACAAGAGCAUUAAGAUUCCAAGCUCAUAUUCUUCUAAGAUUUUGGGGCUAUUGUGUUCUUGUUGUUGUAUACAUUAGUAACAGAUUGCCUUCAUCUGUUGUUGGAACUUCUCCCUAUGAGAAACUGUAAUAAACAACCUUCUCUUAGCCACAUGAAGUCCUUGGAUGUCUAUGCUAUGCUAAGAUAGUACAACAAACUGAUAAGUUGCUUUCUAGAACUAGACCUGCUGUCUUCUUAGGCUACUCUAAAGUUAAAAAGGCUAUAUUUUUUAUGAUCUUACCACCAAGUCCUUUAUUAAUAAAGAAGUAGUGUUCAAAGAAUCUGAAUUUCCUUUUAAGAAUCAUCAUGACAAAAAUACAUUACUCUUUCUUGAAUUAGAUGCUAGUUGUCAACAUUUACUUACUACUAACUCAGAUACUUAUGAGUUUAUGCAGAACAAUAAUGAUACUAUAACAUAUGAUCAAGAGGAACAACUCUAGCCAGAUCACAAUCAUGAUUUUCAUGAUAUGUCUCAAGCUCAAGCACUUCAACCUUAUCAGCAGAUCACUGUUUCUACUAGAAAGUCUGUAAGGAAUAGACAACCACCAAUAUGGAUAAAAGACUUCACUUCGUUGAGUCUACAUGAUCCGCCAUAUGUUAUUUCAAACUAUGUGUCUUACGACAAACUUUCUUCUAAGUAUAAAUCAUACUUAUCAACUUUUUCUUCUGUUACUAAACCUAGGAACUACACUGGAGCUAAAGAAUAUCCCAAAUGGAUUGAAGCUAUGAAGGCAGAAAUACAAGCACCUUAAGAUAAUCACAUUUGGGACAUUGUCACUUUACCACAUGAAAAAAAGGUAAUAGGCUGCAGAUGGGUUUAUAGAGUGACGUACAAAUCUUCAGGAGAAAUAGAAAGGUUCAAGGCUAGAAUGGUUGCAAAAUAAUAUAACCAACAAGAAGGUAUUGAUUAUCAAAAAACUUUUUCUCUUGUGUUUAAGAUGAUAACAGUCAGGAUAGUACUUGUAAUUGUUGUUUCAAAGCACUGGCACAUCCAUCAAAUGAAUGUGUACAAUGCAUUUCUACAGGGUGAUCUCUUUGAUGAGAUUUAUAUGCAGCUUCCUGAAGGUUUUGUGAGCCAGGAAAAAGUAACAUAACUAGACUAGUUUGCAGACUCACAAAAUCCUUAUAUAGCCUAAAGCAAGCACCAAGAAUGGAAUGCUAAACUAAAAAAGGUUUUAUUGAAUCUGAGGUUCAAACAAAGUCAAUAUGAUUAUGCUUUAUUUACCAAAACAAUAGAGGUUGGAACUAUGAUAAUCUUGAUAUAUGUAGAUGGUAUGCUUGUGACUGGAAAUAGCUUAAAGAUUAUUGAGGAAGCAAAUUAGUCUCUUCAACAGGUGUUUAAGAUGAAGGAUUUAGGAGAUUUAAAGUACUUUCUAGGAAUAAGUUUGCUAGAUCAAAUUAAGGUAUAUCAAUGCAUCAAAGGAAAUACACUUUUGAGCUAAUCUUUGAACUUGGACUUGGAGCUGAAAAACCAGCCAUUACUCCUAUAGAUACAAAUGUGAAACUCACUACUAGAGAAUAUGAUGAGUAUCUAGACAAAAUCCUAGUGAAGAUCCAGUGUUAUCAGACAAAGGUGCAUAUCAGAGACUUAUAGGUAAGCUUUUUUAUCUAACUGUCACUAGAUCAAAUAUAACUUAUGGUGUACAAACCUUAAGCCAAUAUCUUCAAGAAUUAAAAAAAUCUCACAUGGAUGCUGCAAUAAGAAUAGUGAGAUGUGUGAAAAAACAGCCUGGACAAGGAAUUCUUAUCUCAAGUAAUGGUAUCCAAAACAUAAAUACAUACUGUGAUGCAGAUAGGCUGCUUGUGCUCACACUAGAAAGUCAGUAACUGGCUUUCUUAUCAAGUUGGGUGAUUCUUUAGUCUCUUGGAAAUCUAAGAAGCAAACAACCAUCUCAAGAAGCUUUACAGAAGUAGAAUACAGAAUUAUGACAUCAACAGUUCCUGAACUAAUAUGGUUACUUGGUAUACUGGAAGAGUUGCAAAUCAAUGUAUCUUUACCAGUGAAUGUCUUUAGUGAUAGCAAAUCCGCCUUGCAAAUAGCAGCCAACCCAAUGUUUUAUGAAAGGCCAAAACACAUUAAAAUCGAUUGUCACUUCAAUAGGAAAAAAAUCAAGAAGGAAAAGUCAAGGCUCAAUACAUCUCGACAAAAAAUAAAUCGACAAAAAAUAAACCUGCAGUUGUUCUUACAAAAGGUUUGAACAAGGUGUAGCAUGAUUAUCUGAUUUCCAAGUUAGGCAUAGUCAACAUAUUCCAGAGUGCGUAACUUGAGGGGGAGUGUUAUGACAAUAACUCUAAUAACUAGUUGAGUAACUAACUUCAAUUAGUUAGUUACUAAUUAUUAAGUUACAAAAGUUAGUUAAGAAAGUUAGUUAAUGAGACUAGGUCUUGGUUCUAUAUAUACUCACUACUCUUGUACUCUUAAACACAUGUUUUGAUGAUGAAUAAUACUUAAUAAACUUCUCUCUUCUUCGCUCUCAGUCUCUCUGUGUUUCUCCGUUCUUAAUGAAAUCACUAUAACUAUUGUAGUGAUUUAGUUCACAUAUCUGUCUGUAAGUAAGGGUGCAUUCUCGCGCACCACCCAUAAUGUCUGAAUACCGCUGCUGUACACGCCUGUUAGAAUUUCAUCUAACUGUUCUUUUGAUACCGACAUGAAAGGUCCUUGGGAUAUGUAUAGAACCAUGACAAGUAAUUGGGACUAGGCUGGUUAGUUUUGCAUUUGGUAUCCAAGUAAGGCAUUGUUGGACCAACUGUGAAAAUGGGAACUUGAAAUUCAGCUUCUAAAGCCUCAAUUACUUAAGAUUCCAAUGCUUCAAUGGUGGUUAACAAGACAUAUCGUGCUUUACUGGCUAAUUGCGAUACAGCUUCGAGAAACAAGGGCAAAAAUUUCAUGUGUUUGCCGAAGACUACCCGAUGGAAGACACUUUACGCAAAUUGUCGUAAUCCUAGGAUUGUAAUUUACCACCUCUUCUCUGUGCUCUGUUCAUUAUGAAUUAAGAAACUCAACUUAUAUUACCAUUCAUGUUGCCAACUAUGUAAUUAGUUGGAUAAGUCAAGAUGAAUAAAUCCACUAACAACAAAAAUAAAGAGACUUUCAUGAAAUCUAAGGGAGUUAAAUCGUAUACUCCUACUACUUGUUGGAAACAAUAGCACAAGAAAAUAAUAUUUCCAACAUAUCUUUAUCUAUCUAUAUUUAUUUUAUAUCUAUAUCUAUAUCUAUAUCUAUAUCUAUAUCUAUCUAUAUCUAUAUUAUAUUAAAAGUGUGAAGGGCCUACAAAUUUUUUAAAAAUUUUAAGUAAGUCAAAGAUUUUCUAAGGAUUUAACUUUACAGAUAAGAAAAGAUUUUAAAUAUAGAAAAAAUAAAAAUGAUAAUCGUACUACAAAUAUAGUUCAAAUCGAUGUGUCUCUCUUAGCCUUUAGCAGCAAGAAAAAAAAGAUAUUUCAUGACAAAUGCAAAAGUGACGAUCCAUUAACCACUUGAAACUUCUGGUGGUAAUAUAUAUAUGUACCUACAAAAAAAUAUAUGUAUGUUUAUAUUAUUCUAUUAAAAUGUAAAAGAUCUUUGAGAGAUGAUUUGAACUUCUUGCCCUUCAUUAAAAAUCUUUGCAAUAAACAAAGUCAUCUAAUUUUAAAUAAUCAAAAGUCAUAUGUGCAAGACAUGUGCGGUUAAACUAGUAGCAAUAAAAGCAGAACAUUAAAAUGCCACUGAUCAAUACCUUUAUAUUAAAAUCCAGGGAAAAAUAAAAAAAUCCAAAGAAGCAAUGGAUAUAAAUAUAAUAAAGAUUUUACACUUUGUAAGCCUGAGUGAAAUACUCUCGCCUUACUACAAUAUGCUCAUACUAACUAUUUUUUCUUACAAACUAUUUUCUUAAGAUGUUUGUAAUAUCUCACUCUUUUCUCUCUAUUAGUUAUCUUGAAAUAGGAUAAUAGAACUGUAAUUUUCCUGAUGUGAGGAAUGGAUUAGAGAGAGAAGCUCUCCUCCCUCUCUUCAGUUCUUCCCUAAAUAAUCUCAGCAAUUUCCCUAAAUAAUUUUCCAAAAAUCCUAAAAAAUACCCAGUUAAUAUCUAGUCCUAUCUUCUAAAUCAACCUAUGGCUCUUAGUCCAUCCUAUCGAGAUAUAGCAGCAAAUAAGAUUUCUACCUCCAAUCAUGCCUUAGAUCAACCUAUGGACGGAGGUUGUCUAGAAUCUGAUCCAGAUAAUUUGGAGGAUGAUCUUGUCCAACUUUCAAUUGAUGAUUGGAAUCGUUUUUUUUCACCCUGGAAAUUCUCAGUGAUUUUAAAGGCCUUUGGGAGUAAGUUCACUCAGCAAUACUUAAAAACUAAAUUGGAAGCACUGUGGAAGCUCCCAGAACCAUUAUGUCUUAUUGAUCUGGGUUAUGAAUUCUUUAUGGCAAAAUUCCAUAAACCAGAAAGCCAAGCAUAUGUCCUUAAAGGCGGUCCUUGGUUCAUCCGACAGCUUCAUAUCAGUUAGCCUCAGUAGGAACCCAACUUCAUCCCCAGCCAGUACCAAAUUAACUCGACUGCAAUUUGGGUUCGCCUACCCAGCUGCCAAAUUCUACGAUCUCACCCUGAUAAAAAGGGUCGGCAAGAAGCUCGAAAAGCUUCUGAAGGUUGAUGCCUGCACCUCUUCGACAAUCAGAGGCAGAUACGCUCGAAUCUGUGUUCAAGUUGAUUUAGAAAAGCCGGUGAAAUCCACCAUCACAAUUGGGGAUCAUAAGCAAGUCUUACUCUAUGAGGGUGACAAGAUCCUCUACAAAUAAUGCAGCUUCUUAGGUCAUACUUCCCAAUCUUUCUCUUCGAAGGCCACCGCUGGAUGAUCAACGCUGGCAUCACCAUUUUCGCCAUGAGCUGUGAAGGAGAAGACUAGAGACGAAUGACAGACAGUCUCGUUUGCUCGUAAAAGAUAUCUGAAGUAGGGAAAUAAACCUUCAAGAGUGGUACCCCUCUCCAGUAAUGGUAAGAUAGUUGUAGCAGCUUCGGCAGAUUAGUUCCCCUCUCACUCCCCCAAGAUAUCUUGGCGGCCACCGCCGCAGGGACCUCUCUUCCCCAGGUUAAUAGGAUACAUCUGGAUCCACUUGGGUCAUUAAGUGCCCUGGUUCAUCCAGAGCCCAAGUGCCCACAACCCAAUCUGUUUCAAAUUUUACUUAUGAUUUAUAAAGUCCCAACCGAUUUAGGCCCAUUUCAGAGGGAUUUCUUUUUGGGCCCAUUCCUUAUAAGCCCUCAUCUUCUGGAUUGGGUUUUAAUCUUAGGCCAGCCGUCUCCUCGACCCAGUUCCCUUACCCGAGCCCAACCUUCAAUCUAACUUUAAUUCUUCUUAUCUUUCUGCUACAAUUCCUACUGAGGGGAAAAUGAAGCUCACACAUGGGCCCCACCUCAAUGAUCUCAUCAUUACCCUUCAGGUGCAUCCAAGUUUUUCCUCUUCCUACGCCGGCAAAUACCCUUUUUACUUCUCAGAGGGAUGAAAUGAAAAUCACUAUCCCUCCAAACAAUGCAUUAAGUGCUAGUACUAUGUCCGAAGCAAAACCUCUUCAUCUCCCUUUCUCUGCUUUUAGCUUAAAAUUCCAUUUGGAUGCCAUGCAAACCACUCUUACUUCAAACAAUAACUCCAUCACCUCCUUCAAACAUGAUCACCAUGUUAACAUCUCCACCUCCUCCAACUCACACUCCGACAUCUUAGCUGGAGGUGUGCCUGUCCAACCAAUCUGUUCUUUUCCACCUACAUUGGGAGGGGAAUCACAUGACCAUCUUUAUUCAGGACUCAGAAUACUUGGCCCAACUGGCAAUGGAGUGCCUAACCGGGGUUUCCAGAGUUACGGGCCCAAUGUCUAGAUGGUAACCUUUCUCCAAAUCUUCAGCUCCCCAACAACAGACAAUCUCACUCCAUCAAUCAUAUCGGAGAUGAUGUCUCUAACAAGUUCAAGCCUUCCUUUCUUUCCACCACCAAAUCCCCUUCUGUUGAACCAAGGUUCCACUUUUGUGAAUCUCUAUGGGGAAAACCCCCAAUCUCAGUUUCCUUCCCAGCUACCUCCAAUCUUGUCUUUUUUUCCAAUGAACCCAAAAACUAUGGAAAAGGAGAAGACCUUGAUUGCACUAAGAGAGAGCAACUGGGAAAUGGAAAACCUGUUAGCCCAAUUGAGAAUUCCCAAAACUGAUGUGUUCACUCUGGAAAAGCCUGUAAACUUGGAUUUCGAAGGACUACUUCACGAGAUGGUGAUUGUCCUACUGCCUCAGGAUCUGUCAAAGCUAGAAAUAGAGCUAGGCUUGCCAAACCCUAUAUUAGAAGAGUGCUACAAAGCCAAGAUCACCCCCCUUUCCAAGAAGAAGAAAUUCCUAGAAUAACUGAGCUCUUCGAACUCUCUGGGGAAGGGGAAGUCACCACUCAAGGAGAUCUCUCACCCCCCAAAGUAAUGAUGCAGAAUUGCAUAAUAUGGAAUGAUAGGAGGGCCAACAAUGCUGAAUUUAGGAGAUACUGCAAGUCCAUGGUUAGCAUCCACCAACCUACCAUUCUUGCUCUUCUUGAGACUAGGAUUACUGAUCAUAAGGCUUUAGCUGAUGAACUGGGAUUUCACUGUUUCAUUCAAUCUCCUACUUCUGGACUGUUUGGUGGCAUUUGUCAUCCUUUGAAAGAAUGAUUCUAUCUCUAUUUUUGAAAUAUCUAUCUUCUCUCAGCUAUCCAUGCUGUUGUUAAGGUCACUACUCCGAAGGCUAGAAGGUCCUACCGUUUGCCACAAUUACAGGGAGGAGAAUAGGGUUGCUGACAUCCUUGCAAAGGAAGGAGCCAAGCAAGCUUUUGCUGGAAAAUGCAGAAUUUUUGUUCCCCCCACCGCCCCUCCUUUUGUAGUCCAUGCAGUUUAGGACGAUAAAUGUGGGAAAAAUUUUUAUAGAAAAACUUGUAACUCCAACUUGAAUGGGCGUACACCCCCUAUCUUUGAACUGGAGCCAGACUAAGAUCCCCUCCCCCACCUUUUGUACCUUUUCACUACUUAAUAUAUCUUCUGGUUUACCAAAAAAUAAAGUUAUCUUGAAAUGAACGAAA